CAGGGAGGGAACUCAGCAACUUAUAUUUAGGUUGCUUUUGCUCGUUUUUUUAUCACAGCAACAGAUGAUCAAACCAAAACGUCCUUUUCAUUUUCUCUGGGCCUCCAGCCCAUGGGACGAUGCCACCCACCUUCAAGGUAUGUUUUUUCCCCUACAGUUCCUUCUGUCUGGAAAUAACUUCCCAGAUCCCUCCAGAGGUGUGACUUAGCAUCCCCUACACGAAUUGAAAGCCAGGCAGGUCAGCAAACAGGACUAAUCAUCUCAGGUGUUUAACAGGCAUUUUCUUUAAAACGAACAAAAUGAGCCUGUCACUCCCAGGAGAACAACCGCCAGUGCCUGUCUCUGAUGACAGAAAACAAGCUCUCGAGCAUCACUGUUUAGGGGACCCUUUUAUCUGCCACUGUAAGCGUGACAGACUCUCACUAUUUAAAGACUUUUCUGAUGACGUUAAACACGAGCAGUGAUGUAAAAGAAUGUGAUUAAAAUCAUUUUUGAGAUUUGUUUUUAUUUUAUAUUUUAUGCACAGAAGUAUUUUGCCUGGGUGUAUGUCUGUGUGGCAUGCGCAUGGUUGGUGCCCGAGGACACCAGAAAGGGGUGUCGGGUCCCUUGGAACUGGGAUUACAGAUGGUUGUGAGCCGCCACGUGGGUACUGGGAGUCAAACCUGGGUCCUCCAGAAGUGCAGCCAGUACUCUUAACCACUAAGCCGUUUCUCCAGCCCAAGGGUGCCAUUUUUGGUGUUAUGCAAUAAACAUGACUUUUGGAAGCUCUUCAUAGCUUUAGUAAACCUUCAUUUUCCAAAUGACUAAUGCACUUCUCUUAACAGCAAGAGGAAGCUAUAAAAUCAACCUUGUUUUGACCUUAGUGGGGAGUGGAAACAGCAGGGCAACAAAAUGGCAUUAAAACCUGAAGACCAGGUGCCACCAAAGAGAAAUAGCACAGGGCAGUACUUACCCGAUGGUGGGCCAUAAGAGACUCCAGAUGCCAUGCACGCAAGCAAGAAACAUAACUUAGCUUUUUUUUUUUUUUUCAAAUUGUUAGAGCCUGAUGUGGCUACCACUGGAGUGCAGAGCUCUGCGGUAUUGCAGACUGGAGGCAAGUUGCCAUGUAUUGCCAGCAACUGAUGAUGAGAAAGAUUAGGGGGACCAGAUAGUCAAGGGAAGGUUCUAUACUGGCCCAGGCAUGAGGGAUAGGCUACCCACUGUCUUUGUCCAGUUUCUGUUGUUAUGUUAAAAUGCCUGAGACUGAAGAAUGUAUAGAAAAUUAAGUGUUUGUUUUUUUUUUUUUAAAUUCAUGUGUCUGGAGGCUGGGAAGUCUAAGGGUACAGUGUGGGCAUCUGGUGAAGAUCUCAAUGUGUCAGUACAUUACAGAGGGCAUCACAGGGAGACGGGGCAAGUGUGUUAGCAAUUUCCUCUGAAUCGAAACUUUUAUUUGGGCUGUCACUCUUGCUGUCACUCUAUCCUGUUGCUGUAGUCAGUAAGAAAUCCAGCUUCUUCUAGAUUCCAGAAGACUAGAGAGCUCCAGGGAUUCCUCCAGGACUCUGGCACCAGGUCUGGGCUAUUGACACAUCCAGCUUGGGCAGGACAGCAUUGAGUCCCAUGUUUUGCUGUGAGAUAGCCAUUGGUGGACUGCUCUGUAGGGACUACACCAGCCAAUCUAAUCAACCCCAUACAGCUGCUGUCAGCUCCCUGUCUGGGGCGAGUAGAUGCUUGUUCCUGUCUCCCCAGGAAGAGCAUCUGUCACAUGUCAGUGGUGGAGACGGUCUGAUCAGCUGAGCUGCCUGGAGGAGACUGACCAGUCAAGCCGCCUGUGAUUCCUGUGAGCUGUCACCCAUGCUGGGGUGGCGUUUUUGGUGACACAACUACCUUUGAGUCUCCCACACUCCUGUAAGUAAGCCCUCACUCAUAUCCUGUAAGUCUUGCCGGGCUCACAUCGAGACUCCAGAGAAGAGAGGGGAAGGAAGAGAACGAUUUCCUGCUUGUCCCUGCUUAUAUUCUGAGUCUGCCUGCUAUGUCACUUCCUGCCUGGAUCACAAGACUUCUCUUUACUACACUUCCCAGGAUCCUCCUCGACUCCUAGUCCCGUCUAAUUAGCUUCCCUAUUGGCCAACAGUACUUUAUUUAUCAACCAAUAAGACAAACAUAUACACAUAAGGACCUCCCCCAUCAUAAGCCCAAUAAAUUCAUUGGUUCACCAAGUUGGACUUGGAUAGAAUGUGUCUUUCUCUGGCUCUCUAUUUGGGUGAUUAGACAUCUGUCAGCAUCUCCCCAGGAAAAGUUCAUAUAACUCACCCUUUCUUCUUUCUUU
rnacentral:lncRNA from 1 species